GUGACACUCAGCAGUUAGUAGCAGCAGGGAGGGGGUGCGAUGCCCCCCCGGUGGGAAGUCGGCCUCUGGAAUGUAGUGAUGGGGGGGAAGUGCAGGGCGGCGGGGGCAGGCCGUCCGCCAGGGGUCUGCCCUUGGGGUCAGGGAAGGGGCUGAGCGGUAAAGGGGCUGAGCAGCACCCUGGGCGGGCAGAGAAUUGGUCCCAGCCCCCCUCGCAGGCCGGAGGGGGUCUCUGGUCACUGCCGGGGGGUGCCCAGAGCAGGGGGGAUGGAGCGGGCACGCCCCAGGCAGGGAGAGGUCCCAGCCCCCCUCGCAGGCCGGAGGGGGUCUCUGGUCACCGCCGGGGGGUGCUCAGAGCCGGGGGGGAGAUGAAGCGGGCACGCCCCAGGCAGGGAGAGGUCCCAGCCCCCCUCGCAGGCCGGAGGGGGUCUCUGGUCACUGCCGGGGGGUGCCCAGAGCGGGGGGGGAGAUGAAGCGGGCACGCCCCAGGCAGGGAGAGGUCCCAGCCCCCCUCGCAGGCCGGAGGGGGUCUCUGGUCACCGCCGGGGGGUGCCCAGAGCAGGGGGGAUGAAGCGGGCACGCCCCAGGCAGGGAGAGGUCCCAGCCCCCCUCGCAGGCCGGAGGGGGUCUCUGGUCACCGCCGGGGGGUGCCCAGAGCGGGGGGGAGAUGAAGCGGGCACGCCCCGGGCAGGGAGAGGUCCCAGCCCCACGAGCGUCUAGGUCCACACCUCCACGGGGAUCAUGCCCUCCUUGCUGUUGAGGGGGGGCAGGAGGGACUCCUCGGCC